AAAUGGUGAAGGUUCAUCAUAGGUUUACAGCAUCAGCUGUGGUUGGGCCAGGCUCUGCAGGUGUGCUUUGCAGAAACAAAGCUAUCAGCAUUGCUGGCACGUGGUGAGGGUUGCAAAAUAUUGGUGGGUUUGCUAAUGGUAGUAUGGGCUUGUAAAACACAUCUUAGCCACGAGGAUGGCACUGGUGAGAAGCAGUAUCUGCAUCUUCUGUGGUAAAAUUCUCUGGUGCCAUGGCUCUGGACUAGAGACACUGGAGCAUCAAAAUGUGGAGAGCUGUAACUUACCACCCUCAGAAGCUUUAGAUUUCCCUUAAGCUUCCAUCACUUAAAGGAACCUGCGAGCCUGUGAUUCUGCGAAUCAAAACCGUUUAAAACCUCAAAACCCAACCCUGCUCAGCAGACAGCUCCUGUGACAAGGCUCUGCCCAGAGUGUAUUUUUAUGCUUGAGUUAUAAACCCUUGAAAAAUGGGGAUCCUAAUGCAAAAGCUGACACAGCUUUAACGAAAGCAGCUCCAGUAAGUGCUGCUGUAAUUAUUUGCUCGUUAAUUACGAAUUUUGCAAGACACGAGAGUAACACAAAUUGGAAAAUAGGAAUAAUUAUCAGUAAUAAUGCCACAGAAGCUGGACACAUUGAAAGUAUCUUCCUCUUUAAAUUUAAUAAUAGCAAGACAGCCAGGAAACUAAUAAGAAAUACAUAAUUGAAAAUUAACCUUGCAAAUCUGCUGUUAAUAAACCGUGGUCCUCUUGCGUUACAA